GCCAGUGAUAGGAGGAGGGCCUUAAAGGCACUAGAUCUCACCUGAUCUAGAAAGCUAAGCAGGGCUAGCCCUGGUUAGUACUUGGAUGGGAGACCAUCAACAAAUACCAGGUGCUGUAGGCU
rnacentral:rRNA from 1 species